CUCUUUAGAAUGUUGCAGGAAUGAGGAAAGGGUGGAGUGUUUACCGAUUCAACUCUUGGUGGUUCCCAGUUACACCGACUCAAAAUUGCAGGGCCAUGCGGCCUGCUCCCCUGAAGAAAAACAGCCCAACCCUCUCUGUUCUCUUUGGUGGUGGUGUUUAUAGUGGUACUGGUGACAACGUAAACGGGUCUCUGUGUGGCUGCCAUUGCCACGAUCAGGUCUGGACAGGAGAAGCUGAAGCUUUCCACCCCAAAGCAAACAGUAGUGCUGCUGGGAAGCCGGCCGCACAGGCCAAGGGAGCUGCUCUCCCUGCCGCUGGACAGAUGCUCAUUCUGUGAGGCUAAAUUUAAGAGGGAUGAAAGUGUCAUGUGGCUGGAAGGGACCUUGCAAAGUGAGUCAGUGCAAGAACAACGACAUCUGCAGCAAUACUGAUGCCGUCUGUCUGUGCAGUUUUGGAAUUAUCCUCAGAGGCAGCGCGCCCGGCAUGACUUUGAGACUGUGAGUCAGGAGAGAAAGCCUUCACUGAUUUGCUCUGAAUCCAAUUAUUUGGUCCAAACUGGAAGAUGAAUCACGUGUAAGAGAGUCCAGAGAAGGAGAGUCCCAUGUACAACUCAAGAGGAGAACUGUGAGACGAUACAUUUCUGCUGUUUCCUAGUCUAUGAUUCUUCGUGACGGCAACCCUUGCAAACUCACACAGAAGAUGCAGGACCGGGGUAUACAAAUGGCUGACUGUCCUGAUGUGCCCGUGUGUGGUGUCCAGACAGAAGGCUCAGGUGAGAGCUUUUGCUGGUGCUCUGAAAGGUGAGGCCUCUUCCAUAAAUACUCCUUAGGGACUUGCCUGGUUCAUCUUUUCCGUUUUUCAUCGAUGCAGCUGUUUUUCCCAGGGAGUACUUGGUCAGAGGCUUAGUUCUUUGCUGGACGCCGUGGGCGUUGAGUUUAUCCUAUACGGGGUUUGUAGUAACCUUCCAGAAGCUAACUUGUCUUGGUAUCUGUAGAACACGACGAGCACAGCCACCACUCGGUACACGUGUUGAAUUCGGGUUAGUGUCAGCAGAUAUGAGGAAACAACUACAACUGUAGGCUGGAUUUGGUUUUUCUUUUCAUGUUAGUAAAUAAACAUUUCAAAACCAAGUCCGAUCAUGAGAAUUCAAUUUCACUCAAGAGUGUAGAGCAUUUUUGGACAUCCCUGGCGGUCUGGCGGUUAAGACUCUGCGCUUCCACUGCAGGGGGCGAGGGUUUGAUCCCUGGUCGGGGAACUAAGAUCCCGCAUGCCCCAUGGUGCAGACAAAAAAAAAAAGAGAGUGUAGAGCAUUUUUAUUUUUAUUUUCUUUAGUGCACCUCACUACAUAACAUUGACUUAUUAAAGACGUCCUGAAGUGUUUUUUUGUGGAAAAGUGGAUACAACUCAAAAUGUUUCUUAAAAGGGAUGGGAAGGUAGUGGACAAGUGGAGCAAAGAAACACCUUUCAAGUGGGCUUUUACUAAAAUUCAGGAGAGUCUUCUUUUUUAAAUCAAAUAUUGUUACUAGUGUCCCUUUAAGAACCUGUGAGGUGAC